GCCCUGGGAUAUCCAGAGUCCCCCAAGAUUGGGGAGGUCUAGCUGAGCGCCAAGUCACCCCUGAAAGGACAGCAGAUGAUAAAGAUGAUAUUCAGAAAUGGAGGUGCAGAGGGCUGGAUGAGGUCGUCCCUGCACCAAGGAAAUUGAAAGCAGUGGCCUGAGAUAGAGUGGACUUGAAAAAUUCUCUGGAGAAGGCCUGUAGGAGGAUGUAAAAGAUUAGUUUUCAUACCAGAAAAUUGUAAGCGGUGAUAACGGUACACGCCUGGUAAGGAGAAGCAGAGUCAGAGUGCAACGCAACAGAGAUUGGCUCGUGCCGGGAGUUGGUGAAUUUCUUCAUGGAGAUGGGCGCGUUCACAGAGGAG